CAGUCUUUGAGGUUGCUGGAAUCAACACAGACUACCUCCAUGCACCUUAUCAGAACACUUUGCAUGUUUUUUGUGUACUUGUCCCCUUUGUGUAUUGCUGCUAAUCUGUCUCUUUCUAGGUUCUGUUGGUUGCAUGCAGAUUGUGCCAGAUGAUUUACCUGUCUAUGGUCUAAGCAUUGGGCUCUGUGCUAAUAUGCAAUUUGUGCUCUUUUUUUCCCUCAGGUCAACCGCAGACAGGGUCCUUCCACAACCACAUACUUAUGCCAGUAAAAGCUACAGCUUUUCUCCUCCGAUCCAAGAAGCCUGGACUGCAGUCACCAUCUCAACACACCAACCAAGAGAAAGGCGGAUGGCUCAAUUCAAUAUGGAAAAUUGCACAAUAAAAGUUCCAGGACAUGAAGGCUGCAUACUGUGAACGUCAACCUUCAGGGCACCGUCCUGCGCAGAAGACUUUCUACCCUAAGAGGGAUGGCUGACCGCAGACACUCACAACCAGCACAGACGCCUCCAACCUCAGACUAGGCCCUUCACAGUUGCUGCACUUACCCACCUUCCCAGAGUUUUUGUGUGGUAAUGACAACUGUAAAUAUAGUAUAAAGUAAUGUAUCUAGUGUCAUGUGUAAUACAUUGUUUAAAUUGUCCAUACAUUUCAAUGACAGUAAAUAUUGGUGGACACAAUUUGACUUUUUUUUUAUUCAUUCUCUGACUGAAAAUGCAUGGUUACAUAAUUUAUAUAUUCCACAAGACCACAAUCAGAAGAUUAUUUGACAGGUUGCAUUUAUUUUCUAUGUAUGAAAAAAAACAAUGGUAACAAGACAAACGUGGUUCCAAACCAAGGUGAGAUGUAUAAAUGUACAGAUGAAUGCUCCUACAGAUAAUGAAAAAUAAUAAAACUCUGCACACUG